rnacentral:rRNA from 1 species
GGGAUUGCCUUAGUAACGGCGAGUGAAGCGGCAACAGCUCAAAUUUGAAAUCUGGCCUUCGGGUCCGAAUUGUAAUUUGUAGAGGAUGCUUUUGAUGCGGUACCUUUCGAGUUCCCUGGAACGGGACGCCUUAGAGGGUGAGAGCCCCGUACGAUUGGAUACCAAAUCUUUGUAUAGCUCCUUCGACGAGUCGAGUAGUUUGGGAAUGCUGCUCUAAAUGGGAGGUAAAUUUCUUCUAAAGCUAAAUACCGGCCAGAGACCGAUAGCGCACAAGUAGAGUGAUCGAAAGAUGAAAAGCACUUUGAAAAGAGGGUUAAAUAGCACGUGAAAUUGUUGAAAGGGAAGCGUUUAUGACCAGACUUUUUCCAAGCGGAUCAUCCGGUGUUCUCACCGGUGCACUUCGUUUGGUUGAGGCCAGCAUCGGUUUCCGUAGAGGGAUAAAAGCUUUAGGAAUGUGGCUCCCUCGGGAGUGUUAUAGCCUUUUGUAUAAUACCUUUAUGGGGACCGAGGUUCGCGCAUCUGCAAGGAUGCUGGCGUAAUGGUCAUCAACGA